rnacentral:rRNA from 1 species
UAACGGCGUCGAGCGGCGGACGGGUGAGUAAUGCCUGGGAAAUUGCCCUGAUGUGGGGGAUAACCAUUGGAAACGAUGGCUAAUACCGCAUAAUAGCUUCGGCUCAAAGAGGGGGACCUUCGGGCCUCUCGCGUCAGGAUAUGCCCAGGUGGGAUUAGCUAGUUGGUGAGGUAAGGGCUCACCAAGGCGACGAUCCCUAGCUGGUCUGAGAGGAUGAUCAGCCACACUGGAACUGAGACACGGUCCAGACUCCUACGGGAGGCAGCAGUGGGGAAUAUUGCACAAUGGGCGCAAGCCUGAUGCAGCCAUGCCGCGUGUAUGAAGAAGGCCUUCGGGUUGUAAAGUACUUUCAGCAGUGAGGAAGGUGGUGUGCUUAAUACGCACAUCAUUUGACGUUAGCUGCAGAAGAAGCACCGGCUAACUCCGUGCCAGCAGCCGCGGUAAUACGGAGGGUGCGAGCGUUAAUCGGAAUUACUGGGCGUAAAGCGCAUGCAGGUGGUUUGUUAAGUCAGAUGUGAAAGCCCGGGGCUCAACCUCGGAAUUGCAUUUGAAACUGACAGACUAGAGUACUGUAGAGGGGGGUAGAAUUUCAGGUGUAGCGGUGAAAUGCGUAGAGAUCUGAAGGAAUACCGGUGGCGAAGGCGGCCCCCUGGACAGAUACUGACACUCAUAUGCGAAAGCGUGGGGAGCAUACAGGAUUAGAUACCCUGAUAGUCCCACGCCGUAUACGAUGUCUACUUGAAGGUUGUGGCCCUUGA